GACGAACGCUGGCGGCGUGCUUAACACAUGCAAGUCGAACGGUGAUGGGUGCUUGCACCUUGAUCAGUGGCGAACGGGUGAGUAACACGUGAGCAACCUGCCCCCGACUCUGGGAUAACCCCGGGAAACCGGAGCUAAUACUGGAUAUGAGACGUACAGGCAUCUGUCGCGUCUGGAAAGACUUUCGGUUGGGGAUGGGCUCGCGGCCUAUCAGCUUGUUGGUGGGGUAAUGGCCUACCAAGGCGACGACGGGUAGCCGGCCUGAGAGGGCGACCGGCCACACUGGGACUGAGACACGGCCCAGACUCCUACGGGAGGCAGCAGUGGGGAAUAUUGCACAAUGGGCGCAAGCCUGAUGCAGCGACGCCGCGUGAGGGAUGACGGCCUUCGGGUUGUAAACCUCUUUCAGCAGGGAAGAAGCGCAAGUGACGGUACCUGCAGAAGAAGCGCCGGCUAACUACGUGCCAGCCGCCGCGGUAA
rnacentral:rRNA from 1 species